rnacentral:tRNA from 1 species
AAACCUCUGGCAAACUAUCUUGUCGCCUUUGCACGGCGGAGGUCAGGGGUUCGAAUCCCCUCGGCUCCA